AUAUCUUAAAUAACAAAUUGUUAUUAUAAAUAUUAAUUUAACAUAAUAUAUAUAUAUAUAUAUAUAUAUAUAUAUAUAUAUAUCCUUAACAUAUGGUUUACUAAACUGUUUAUCAAAUUUGAUUUUGUAAAUAUUCUGGAAUUAUAUAAUGUAGAUGACAUAGGUAUUAAUGUUGUAUUAUAUAUACUAACUCAUUUUAUAAUUAAUAUCUGAAUGUUGUAGGUCCAUAUUCAGCAUAAGAUAUGGUGUAUAACUUAUUUAUAAUUAUAUAAUAAUUAUUACAAAAAAAUUUAACUGUUUAGAUAUUUAUAAAAUUUUAAUAUUUUUAAAAAAUUAUAUUUAUAUUUAUCGAUUUGAUGCACCGUAGUUCACAAUAUAGGAGAUGGUCUCAUAAAAUCACUUGGCUAAAAUAGCUGAAUGAUGCAUUAGUUAUAGAAAAAAACUUGUUCAUGUAAGAUAUAAAAUAACUUGUGGCAUGUGAUAGUUAUGUAAAAUAACUUGGAUAUAUAAAAUAUUUUUGUCACCUAAUAUAUAAAUGGUGCGAUAAUUGAGGUCCAAGGUUCCUUAAUUAGUGGGAUUCAGAAAGAUAUGCAAUAAGUCGUUCAAUUAUAUGUUAGUAUAUCAAAUUCAAUAUAAGGUGCUUAUGUUAUGAAUGGACAACCAAGGAUAAAUUUUGUUCCAGAGAGAGAGGUCUAAGUCAAGGCGAUCCUAUAUUUUUUUUUCAUAUUUAUUCUAUGCAUAGAAACGCUGGUUAGCCCUCUUAAUCAUAAAGAGAACCAAGAGAAGAUAACAGGGAUGCACGUCACAUGUGCGUGUCUCCAGUAUCACAUCUUCUCUUUCUUGAUGAUAGUUUUUUUUCUGUAAGGCGGAACUCCGUAAAUGUGAAGAAGUGAUGAAAACAGUCAGGAAGUAUGGACAAACAUUAGGACAAUGUAUUAACUUUGAGAAAUCUCUUUUACUCUUUGGUAAGAGGAUUGAUGUGAAUGUUAAGACAGCAGAUUAAAGAUACACUUGGAAUCCAAAACGAAUGAGGAAUGAAAACAUACCUACGAAUUACAUAAUAUAUUAGUGGGUCAAAAUGCAAGCUUUUUGCUUUUUUAAGGACAAAUUACUGCAUAGAGUGAAUGGAUAGACAUGUAGAUAGCUCUCUAAAGGAGGAAAGGAACUUUUUGAUUAAAUCUAUCAUGCUAUCUCUUCCGACAUAUGUUAUAUUUACUUUCUUGCUCCCACUGGAGAUAUGUGAAAACCUAGCGAGUGCCAUUGCAUAGUUCUGGUGGAUCUCAAACCUACCAAAGAGAGGAAUUUACUGGGCAAAAUAGGAAAAACUUUGCUUACCAUGGGAGGAAAGCGGGAUUAGUUUCCGUAUGAUCCAUGAAUUUAACCUUGCUUUACUAGCAAAACAACUAUGGAGGCUAGUACAAUACCAUUACUAGUUGGUGGCUCGAGUAUUGAGUAAAAGAUACCACUGAAUGAGUUCACCUUUGCGAUUAAUCUAUGUAAAUAAUCCAUCAUAUGUGUGGACCAGUAUUUCAGCGGCACGAAAGCUAUUGCUAUUGAGAAUCAGACAGAAGAUACAUUAUGGAUAUGAGGUCAAAGUGUCGGAGGAUUUUUGGAUCCCUACAACACCAGCUAGGCCGGCUCGACCUUUAGCCCUAGUUCUCCAUCUGAACAUAAGAGUCAGCGAACUUAUUAAUCAGGACAUGAGAGAAUGGAAUGUUGGGAUACUAGAGGACUAUGUUGCUCCUGUUGCUAUACUUUUCAUAAGAAGUUUGGCCAUAAGCUCAACUCAUCGCUGUGACACAUUCUGCUGGAGCUACACCAAGAAUGGCCAGUACAUGGUUAAGUCAGAAUAUUGGGUAGCUCGAACUUAUUGAAGGCUGAGGCGGAGAAAGAAGUACUAGAGCCAAGUAUUACUAAGCUUCAAACCUUUGUAGCUUCAAACCUUUGUUUGGACGAUAAAAGCACCGCAUAAGAUAUGUCAUCUUAUAUGACAGCUGAUAACAUGUCAUGUGGCAGUAACGAGGAAUUUGGUGCGGCGUAACAUGAGAUGUGAUAAAUAUUGCCCACGAUGUGGUGAGCAUGAAGAAUCUGUUACCCAUGCUAUUUUUGAGUUCCCGCCAGCUUUACAAGUUUGGCCCUUAUCAUCGACACCUAUAAGUCAAGAUAUUUUUUCAAGCCCGAGUAUCUAUGCUAAUAUGGAUUAUCUUUUAUGGAGAAAGAACAACAUUGUCGAGCCAGAACUAGAUAUGAAUCAUUAUCUCUGGAUAAUUUGGUACAUUUGGAAGGCUCGAAAUGAGAAUUUUUUUAGGGGGCUUAAUAGAGAUCAUUUGGAGUUAGUGCGCUAUGCAGAGAGUGAGUGUCAAGCCUGGUUCGAUGCAAACGAGAUGGUGACUUCAACUCCACAAGGACAUAGUAUUGAGGAACCUAAAGUCUUAAGCUUGAGUAAUAUAUGCAUGAUAGAUGGGUCAUGGACAUCCACAUCACAGUUCAGCGGGUGUGGAUGGGUUUGGAUGGAUAGCUUGGAGAAGGUUCAACUUAUGGGGACACAAAAUUUAUACGGCAAGAGUCUGCUCGGAUUAUGAGGUAGAAGCAUUGCGAUGGGCGAUGGAGAGCAUGGUUCAGUAUUCAACAUGUCAGAGCUUUAGAACGGACUGCAAAUAUUUGAUCGCCAUGAUAAAGAAACCUCAUGCUUGGCCAAAGUUUGCAACAUAAUUGAAGAGAAUAGUGACUCUGAAGAUAUGCUUUCCGAACUUCAAAAUCACUCAUAUUCUUUGAGUACAAAAUCAGAUUUCAGAUUCUUUAGCUAGGACUGCAAGGUCAUUUAAUAGAAAAUUUGGUUUUGUUGGUUGUUCUAUUCCGGUUUGGUUACUAGACCACCUCAAGUUUGAGUAAUACAGUAGUCGUUCGUUGCCAAAAAAAAAGUAUUUAAAUAGGUCAAACAAUCUUACAUAAGUAGAUUUUUUUUUAAAAAAAAAAUCAUUUUUAAUAGUAUAGAUUGUUUUUAGAUCAAGUUUAACCCCUAGCAUAUCUUUUUCGAAAGUGACGUAUGGUGCAUGACCUCAUCCUACCGUACGUCAUGGAAGGUGAAUUACGGAUGAUAAAUCCUUAAUGCAUUGCAAUAGUCUUAAUCUAACCUUAUUAUUUAUCAUUUAUCAAUCUAACGAUAAAGAACAAUUGCUGGAAAGAUAUUGUUAUAAAAUAAGAUAAAUUCACGUGUGCUUUUUUUGGAUUUCUAGUAAUACUCCACUGUUCCUUCUUUAUGUAUAAAAGUCUUAGUGUCCAGAUCUGGUAUAUAUGACCUUUGGGGUGUGUAGCAAAGUAGGUAAGAUUAUUUCCAUAAGCAAUUAGUUUUAUAAGGAAGAUAAGGUAAUAUCCUGCUUGUCUACGGCUAGUAGGCCUCUCGUUCACACAGCCACUACAAGAAAAAUGUGUUUUAAUAGCAGUAGAAGAUAGCAUUUUUUGCCUUUGUGCUAUAAUUGACAUACGCCUUAGUUUUAGAUAGCGUUUGUACAUUUCGAAACGCUAUGAUAGAGUGGCAUAUUUAAAAACGCUAUAAUAGUGUAUAGUUUUAAUGUAACACUUAGUUUUAAUAGCAAAACAUAAUUAAAAAUGCUAUGUUUGGUUAUUUAAAACCCUAAACUUAGAACAUAUUUUAAACCCUAAAUUAUAAACACAAACCUAACGCUCAAAUAUUUUCAUAUUCUAGUCUUAAGUUUAAAUUUAAAUUUUAAUAUUUUCAAAAUUAAUUUUCAAUUCAAAUCUUAAAUCUAAACCUCAAACCCUAAAUCCUUUACAUCUUUUCAAACCCUAAACUCUAUAUCCCUAUUCAAACAUCAUAUAAACCCUAAACUUUAAAUAAAAAAUCCCAGAUCUAAUAUUUCCAAGUUUUAAUAAAACAAAAAACUAUUAUAAAUAUAUGAUCUUUUCAAAUUUUCUUUUUCAAACAUUAAAUAUAACCUUUGAACCCUAUCACACAAACCUUUGCUUUAAAAUCUUAUAUGUUAAAUCUGAAAUUCAAUAGUUCUUAUCGUAACUUUAUAAUUGUAAAUGAUAAUUUAAUUUUUACAUAAAUAAAACUAGUUACAUAAUAAAAUUAUAAUUUUUAAAACAUCUAUUAAAUAAAACAGUUUUGAUUAGUUAAUCUAUGACUAUUGAUUCCUUUUAAUCUAAUGGUUACUCACUCUUUUGUUAAUCCUUUCGCUUCUUUCUCAUUGGUCAAUUAAUAAAACAAAGAGUAAAAAAUUUCAUUGGUUAAAACAUGAUGGUGAGGAUAGCUACUAUAUUUGAUCUCCACCGUUGAUAUAACUCAAUCUAACGGACAAAAGUGAUUCAGUUUAAUAUUUUAUUUUUUUGCAUUAUCUCUUUCAUCUUCUUUCUCACGAUCUCUCCUCUCCUCCUCUCUCACCAUCUCUUCAAUCUUCUUGCUCAUAACUCAUCUGAAAUCCUCCUCUCUCAUCAUCUCAUAUCCUGCAAUCAUCUUCUCCUAUCAAUUCUCCUCUUUCAUCACCUAUUCAAUCCUCAUCUCACGAUCUCUCAAACUCGUCCUCUGUCGUAACGGGUUCAAGCUCACCACCAUCACCAUGACCUCGCCUCCUCCUCUUUGGAUCUGGAAUAAUGAUGAAAGGGAUGCACGCCAGAGGUGAAGGUUGACAUAUCGGAGAUGCGCCGGAGGUGUUACGAACCAGAUACGGAGGUGUUACGAACCAGAGACGGAGGCGGAGGUAGAUGUGGUUCAGAGAAAGGUGAUUUGAGGCGGGGGCAUGAGGAGGCGGAGGCACGAAGACGCGGAAGCCAGAGAGGUCGAAGACGGCGGAGUUAAGAAGAUUGGUUUAGUCGUUACUGUAUUAGGUUUAGUUAGUAAAUAGGUUUAGGUUAAAUCUUGGUUUAAGUUUUUGGUUUAGUUUUGAUUUAUUUUCUAAUUUGUAUACCAUAUUCUUUUUGUAAACCAGUUUUAUUAUAAAUCAGUUUAAAUAAUAAACAAAUUUUUAAAUAUAUAAACUAAUUUAAAUUUUAAUUAUGUUUUUAUUUUCAAGCAAUUAAAUUUCCAUAAAUAAUUUUUAAAAUAAAGAAUUUUAAUAUAAGUAAUAGCAUAUAUGACACGCUAUUAAAUAAUAUUUAAUUGCAGAUAGAAAAACGCUAUGGUAUCGGAAGAAAAGAUAGCAGCAUAAAAAACCGCUAUGUAAUGUCUUUUAUCUAUUAUGACGGGCGAUGAUACAGCGUUUCAAAAACCGCUAUAGUAUCGUUAUAUAGCGUUAUUCGUCCGCUAUUAAAACACAUUUUUCUUGUAGUGAGCAUGUGGGUUUAUUCUAAACAAUGGAUAGUGUGUUUUUUAUUUUGGAGGUUCAUUAUUUUUGUUGAGUGUUUCUGCAAUCACUAUAUGACUUUUCCACAUGUUUAAGUCUCAUUCGCGCGAUAUUGCAAAUCACUUUUUGAUAUGUCAUACAUCCUUUCACUACUCAAACUUAAACACACUUAAAUAUAGAGUUAUAAGGGUAGUGUGACCAAAAAAGUAAGUGUACUUUAGUGACAUAAGUAGCCAAAUCAAUUCUUUUAAACUUUCCCACAUAUACCACAAACAUGGAUGUUACAAUUCACCUCUCUCACAGAACACAACGUCCUCGUUGCGUCCUAAGAUCGUUAUCCAUGUUAGUGUGAGCCCACACAUGACUCCACACUCGUCUGUGUUCGGCUCUGAUAUCACAUGUACCGUCUACCCAUGAUUAAUGAGUCUUCCACGCCCGUUCUUUCGGUCCGUGGGCAUCAUUCUGCACGACAGGCAGUGCGUUUGUUUUUUGGAGGUUCAUUAGACUUGUUUAUUGUCUCUACAAUUGCCACAUGACCUUUCCACGUGCUUUGGCAUCACUCGUACAAUAUCACAAAUCAUUUUUCGAUAGGUCAUCUAUCUUUCCUCUACUCUAGCUCAAACACAUUUAAUCGUAGAGUUCUAAAAUAAUGUGUAACCGAAAAAAAGUAUACUUUGAUAGCAUAACUAAUCAAAUAAAUUCUUUUAAACUCUUAUACGUAUACCACAAACUGAGAUAUUAAGGAUGAGUUAAUUAGCUAUAUAGUACUAUUUAUCAGCUUGCAUUUCUAAUUAACAUACAUGUAUUCAAGUAGUUUAAAAAUUCCAUUGUUGAUAGAAUUAAUUAACUCAAGUUGAGUACUCAAUGUAUCUCUCAUACGGUAAUUUGCAUGCACAAUGUAGUAUAGUCGCAUUAUCUCAUCCACUAGUUGGAAAGUAAUUUUACAUGCAUGUGGACAACUAACGGUGUUUUAUAUGCAUAUUGAGGAAUAAACUAAUUUAAGUAGUAUCUCUUUUCUUUCAGCAUGCAAAUAGUACUUUUCAUUAGAUGAUUAAAUGGCGUCGAUUUUCCAGUUAAUAAUAGCUUAAUCGUGUGGUUUACAGGUGUACAGUCCAUGGUCAACACUACAGAAUGGUGAGAUUAUAAGAAAAUAAUAUGAAUUAAAUUAGUGUCUAAAAAUCUUGUAAACACGAUAAAAAUAGUUUAGUAAGAGCAUUUUCAUUUUGGAAGUUUCUUAAAGCAUCUCCAUUCAUAAGAUACCUCAGAACAUUUCAUUAAUCUGUAAUUAAUACUUUAAUACGUUUAAAUUACAUCACUAAAAACUACAUCACUGAUUUUUUUUUUGUUAUUAAAGACAUCUGGACCAGUCAUGUCAUGUGUGUUAAGAGUAUAUGUAAAAUUCUCAAAUAAAAGAUCAUAUAAUUGUUUUUCUCUUUUAUAUUAUUUCAUUAUUUUACCGGUAGCAUAUCUUGUGGGUAACUAGCAAUUCUAUAUCAUAAUAGUGAAAGAGAAAAAGGUUGGAUGGAUAUAUGAAAAAAAUGAAAAUUUCAUCCGGAAAACUUCUCCCCUAUUUAUAAUAUCAAUCUAAUUUUAUAUGAUUUGCUAUUUUUCACUAUCUUUGUAAUAUUAUUUGAAAAGUCAGUUUUCCAACAUAUCGCGAUAACCUUAAUUUUUAGAAUGAUUAAUUACAAUGAUAUCAUUAAUGAACUAAAAAUAGAAUUAAUGUCAUUAUUAUAUUUUUCUUUCUUUUUUUUCUUUUUUGAUAUUUUUGCCUUUUUAUUUAUAUUAGUUUCCAAACUACAUAUAUAAAAAGGCAAUAGUUAUAAAUUUUAAAACGUGGUUAGUAUAUAUAAAUUGAUUUAAUAAAACAUAAAUUUCAUAAAAAAUAAGAUCCAUAUUAAAAGAAUUCCUUGUACAACAUAAUCUCAAACAAUACAAUAGAUAUUUUUGAGAUAAAUUUUUUUAACUAAAAUUAAAUAUCACUUUCUUUUUUUUAUUAGUUUUCAAAUAACAUAUAUAAAAAAGGAAAUACAUAUAAAAAUUAAAACCGGGUCAUAUGAUUAUAAAUUGAUUUCAUUAGAAAAGGAAGUUUCAUUUGCCCAAAAAUGGAAAUUUCAUUAAAAAAAGAUUCAUGUUGAAAAUAUAUAUAUAAUUUCUAUAGUUUAUUUAUUAAUUAUAAAAUAAUUUAAAUAUACAUAGGAUAUUGAUUAAUUACUAUAGUUUAUUCAUUACUAAACAUGUGGCAAAAUGAGUUCUAGUGAAUAUCUAACAUGAUCUUUUGUUUCUCUUUCCUAAUUUUUUUUUAUUAAUAAGAUAUCUAAAGAGUUUUUACGAAUAGAGUUGUUCUUAACAAUUGGAAUUUUUUUUACCGGAAGCUUAAAGAAAAAAAAUGCAUAUAAAACGGUAAUUAACAAGUAAUGCUAAGAAAAAAAAUUAGUUAAUGAUAUUUUACAGUUAAACAGUCGAAUAUGUAUAAUAAACUAAUAAUUCAAUAUUCUUGUACAAUGUUUUUUUUUUUUUAAUGAAUGAAUAUUAAAUUUAUUCACCAAAAAAAGCAUUUUUACAACUAGUGCAUACUGUUUACUGAAAGACUUUAAACUCCAAAAAACAACUUAAACAUUUGUAAUUCUAGUUAAAAACCAAAAUUGCAUCAUCUCAUCCAUUCCUUUGACUUCCUUCCUUCUCAGAACACUGAUUUUGUUUCUGAUCCCUUUGUCUAUCAUUCUCUGCACCACAGAUAGUGGAAGCAACUUAUCCCCAUGCCUCACUUUAUUGAGUUCCCUCCACACUACAUAAAGAACUAACUGAAAAGCAUAACGUAUGCAAAACAACCACUUCUUCUCCUUGUUUCUAUCUAUUAUGAGCUCCAUAAUCUCAGACCAGACAUUAGUAUAACAGCUCCCCAUAAUACCUUUGACCGCCUUUUCCCACAUUUGAGCAGAGUAACAACACUCAAAGAACAGAUGCUCUCUCGAUUCAGUGCCCGAGGUACAAAGCACACAAGUGGUAACAGUACCUUGGCUCCAUUUAGCAAUCCUAUCCAGCGUCGAUAAUCUAUCCCGAGCUGCUAACCAUGCCAUAAAAGUGUAUUUAGGAGUGGCCUGCUUCAUCCAUAUUCCUCGAGACCAGACACAGUAAACUUUACUCACUCUCAACAGCAACCAAGUUUCUUGAGUAGAAAAAAGCCUUGUACAAUGUUUUUAAAUGUUAAGGAAAUGAAUAUUUUAACAUUCGAUUUCAUAAAAAAUUCGUCCUCCUAUAUAUGAAUUUACAGGAUUUUAAAAGUGUUAUUUCUUAGUUGAUAUGUAUACACUAGUGUAUAGACAACUAAGCUGCUGCUGCCAUAUUUUUAACUAAAAUAACAAGUACUAUAUAGGCCAUCAAGUUGGAUAAAUAUAUUUUUCACCUAUAAAUAAUGUUGAACGUAUAUGUUCUCCCUCUCAUCCCAAAACAAAAUUCCUUACUAUCUCUUCUUCAAACCCGAAUAAAAAUAUAUCUCUCUCUCCUACUCCAUUGUAAUGGCUUCGUCACUUCUAACAUACUCCAUUAUGAUCCCCACCACCGGUUCCACGGUGGUUGUCCGGUCAGUGUUACCCAUUGAAUCUUCACUGCCCUCUCUCCGCCGCCUAACCUAUCCGCACAAGAAGCCAACCUUGUUCAUCUCAUUUUUCUCCUCUAAGUCCCAAAAGGCCGCAACUAGUAGUAUUGACCUCCAGCCCGUCAUGAAACGGUGGCCAGAGUACAUACCUAACAAGAUCGCCGACAAGAAUUAUGUGAGAGUAUUUGACACGACGCUCCGUGAUGGCGAACAAUCUCCCGGUGGAGCUCUUACUCCCCUUCAGAAGGUAGAGAUUGCUAGGCAACUCGCUAAACUCCGAGUAGACGUCAUGGAUGUCGGUUUUCCGGCGUCGUCUGAGGAAGAGUUAGAAGCCGUUAAAAGCAUUGCCAAGACCGUCGGUAACGAGGUUAAUUGAUUAUCUCUGUAUUUCCUUAACUUCAAAUUAUAAUGAUAAUAAUGUGUUCAUACCUACGUAGCAUGGAUGCCUCGUCAUAUGUUAGCUUCCUGUUUUGGGAUUGGAAUUAUAAUAGGAAACUUCAAGAUAUUCUUGGAAUUUCGGAGUUGAUUGGCUGUUGAUGUAGUAGCUUUAUUUUCUUAGUUAUAGAAAAUAGAUUGUGAAUUUUUUUUGCUUUCGUUUUAAUUUUUUUUGCGGUGGAUAUAUUUUCAAAACACUACAUAAAAGCUGUAGAAAUUUUAAUUUUAAGAGCUAAUAUUUUUAUCUAACUUUUUGCUGUAGUUUUAGUUUUUAUACCUAAAGCAUGUUUGCUUUAUAAAAAUGCUUUAGAAAGAGAAAAUGGUGUCCAAAACACCUACAGCUCUUCCCAAUCAAAUUCUUUGCUUCCACAUCGCUUCUCAAAAAAAAAACUACUUGAAAAUGUAAUGGAAGUUUAUCCCUUCAUUUUGAAAGCUUAUAUUUCUGUUUUAAAAGCUUGCGAUUCUAUUAAAAAUAGUUAGAUAUCAUAAAUAAAUAAGAAGUUCAAAAUUAGUUUUAUAUACAU